CCCACCCCCCGCACCCCUGACAAGUGUAGCUAGGAGACAGGUUAAUCUUCAGAGCUGCUGGCCAAGGUGAAACUGCAGUCCGGACCACAAGCACGGUCAGUCGGCGGUGCCUCCGUUCCUGUGCACACCACCCACUACCCAAACCUGACUGGCUUCCUUCACACCAUCACCUGAGGGGCAAAUGCAUGCCCCCCUCCCCUCGCCCAACCAUCUCACUGCUGCCUGAACAGGUCUGAGGAACUAAAAUCUGCAAAGCUGAGCUUACGUAGGCAAAGAAAAAGCAAAACAAGAGGCCUCUCUUUCCAGAUCUCGGAAUUCCUCUUAAAUAAACUCGGAUACUCGGAUAAACUGAAAAUAAUAGCGUCCUCACCUAGAACAAGAGGGCUUGGCUGGCCUUGCUUCUAAAAACACAACCACCUCAAAGGGGCCAAUGACACCGGGACUGGCUAGACACACCGACCUACAAGGCAAAGCGCAAGCAAAACCCGGGACGGCGCUGGGCACGGUUUAAAUCGGACUGUUCUUUCUCCAGGCUGAGGGGGCGCUCGCCGUCCCCAACAGAGACAGUGCAGGGACAAUGGUGCGCUAGGCAUGAUCUUUUUCUUUGGAAGGAAACCCAUAGACCCUUAAUUCAACCCCCAUCCCUAAGAAACCUUCGUGAGGUGGAAGAGAGGAGUGGUCCAGGUCACAUCAGGUUAUGCACCGCGGCCGGGGACGCACUCUUGGCCUGGGGAUAGGGCAAGAACCUCCCAACAACGUUGGGCACACUUGAACACCCCUGAUACAGAAGGAUCAAGAAGGACCGGCCCGUCCCUACCCAUGGAGAUUUCCACCCCAGGCUGUCUGCAGGCUGCAAGCAUCCUGGAAAUGGAUGGCAGAAUCAGAGACGGUAAGUACAGAGCACAGAGACCAGUUUGGAAGCUGACAUCAGUGAAGAUAUAAUCAGAGCAGUGGCAAUGACAGAGGGAAUGGAAAAAGGAUGCACAAAUGAUGGCUACCAUCUGGGGACCAAAUGCUCUUUGCUUACUAUAUUGUCUCUCCUCAUCAUAAGAUAGGUGAUGGCCUUUGCCCCAUUUUAUGGAUGAGGAAAUUGAAGUCACUUGGAAGUGGAAGAGCCAGAACUGGAACCCUUUUCCACAUUCAUUAAAAAUCCUCAUUUCCCUUCUCAGCA